ACCUGAAACAAGAAGUACAUCAGUAGUAAAGACAAUGUUACGCUACAAUAAUUAAUAUACUUAAGUGAAAUGACUUGGUUACAGGUUGUUGAUGACAUAUUAGCCCCCUAAUAUGGUAUAUUGGCCUGUAAAAGCAUGACCACCGUAUCAAUGGUUGCCUAAUUGCGUGUAUAAAUGAUCACACGUGCUGUGUGAUAUUUUACAAAUAAUACAUGUUUAGUUACAAUACUAUACUAAGUAUGCGCAUGAUAUCGUUAGUAUCUGCAAUGUUGUGUAUCAAAACAACGUCCGAAAGUGAUAAUUCUAGAUAAUAUAGUGCCAAUUUUAAUAGGUUAAUGUAAUUUUGGGGUUUUGGCAGUGGCGGCGCUAGAGGUCUGUGAGGAUGAGCGAGCGCCCAACCAAAAUUUGUCUCGCUCAACCACUUUUAAUAGCGAUAUAAAUAAUUACGAAUUUAAAAAAAUCGGAUCAAAUUUGACAAUAAUGAUAGUGAACGUGAAAACAUUCCGAGUUGUCGGGAAUUGGAAAGCAAAAUUUUAAGACAACCGCCAAAGAUUUUCAUAUAGAGGAAAAAUAAAUCAUUGAUUUGGCUCUAUCGCUACAUGAACUUUCAAGGCCGCUGGUCUUAGCAAGUUUUCCUAAAAAACAGUAUGGUACUGAUCUUCGUAGUUUUAAGUCCAGUUAUUAUGUCUUGUAUCCUUGGAUUAAGUACAGCAUUCUCAAAGAUGCU